AACGAACGCUGGCGGCAUGCCUAACACAUGCAAGUCGAACGAGACCUUCGGGUCUAGUGGCGCACGGGUGCGUAACGCGUGGGAAUCUGCCCUUGGGUUCGGAAUAACAGUUAGAAAUGACUGCUAAUACCGGAUAAUGUCUUCGGACCAAAGAUUUAUCGCCCAGGGAUGAGCCCGCGUAGGAUUAGCUAGUUGGUGAGGUAAAGGCUCACCAAGGCGACGAUCCUUAGCUGGUCUGAGAGGAUGAUCAGCCACACUGGGACUGAGACACGGCCCAGACUCCUACGGGAGGCAGCAGUGGGGAAUAUUGGACAAUGGGCGAAAGCCUGAUCCAGCAAUGCCGCGUGAGUGAUGAAGGCCUUAGGGUUGUAAAGCUCUUUUACCCGGGAUGAUAAUGACAGUACCGGGAGAAUAAGCCCGGCUAACUCCGUGCCAGCAGCCGCGGUAA
rnacentral:rRNA from 1 species